rnacentral:lncRNA from 1 species
UGCAAGCGCUGCCGCAACUGCAAGUUGUUCCGCCCAAUAAUAGCACGGCGCAAUCGAUUUGGGCGCGUUGCGUUGCUCCUCUCGCCCUCGCCCCCCGCCUCCUUCCUCCCCACCCUCCCCAAUCCCCACCAAAACCACCCGCGCCGUUAAUCGCAGCAACCAGCGGCUCCAUCGCCGGCCGCGGAUUGGGCAUCCGCGGAUUGCUAAUCGAUCGGUUGAUUGAUUGAUCGAUCGAUCGCGGCGAGGCCGGGGAGCCGGCUGCGGUGGCGACCGCACCGACGGUUCUUGGCGGUUGCAUGUAUGCGGGCGGGGAGAGCCGGCCCAAUGGUGCGGGCGACGGUGUUGGGGGAGACGCGCUCCGGCGGCGGAGGCAGGCCGGCCUGUCUUCCUCCUCCCGCGGCGCGGCGGCGGCGGCGGCGGCGGGCGCGUCGUCUUCUUCGUCCGGACGAGGAGAGGAGGAAGGGGAGGAGCAUCGGGAAGGCGGGAAGCAGGGCAGGCGCAAGAAGCAGGGGAGGCGCGAGGCGGUGGCCAGGGCGAUCCGGGGCGGGCUGCCGACCGCCGCGGUCUCCUGCUGGGGCGGCGGCGGCGUAUCGGUGGUUCAGGAGUCCGGCGGCAGGAGGGCGGGGAGCAGGUCGAGCCGGCGGGAGAGGGCGGCCGCGUCCGAUGGCGACGCCGACGACGGUUCUGGCCCGGGCCCGGCCACAACAGGUCCGCCGCCACCGGCGGCGCCGUUGUGCUGCUUGUGCCUGGGGGAGGACUUCUCGCUGGAGCCCAACCCGAGCGCCAACGGCAAGGAGGACCCCGGCGUCCGGUCCCUCCUGGAGCGCAACGACUUCUUCUCCGCGGACUGCAACCCGCACGCCGACUUCCCCACCUCCGCCGCCGCCGCCGCUUCCUCGUCGUAGCAGGCCCGGCGCCCGCAUCGGUUAGCCUGCAGUACAUCCACCAUCGCCCCACAUUGCGGCGCACACAAUUUUACCGACAAAAAAGAGCAAUUUUUUCACUCUCCAGCGGUGGGGUUCGAUCGGGCCAUUGAGUCCUGAAAUUCCUUUCUUGGCUUGUUCGUUGCUAUGAUCGAUCUGUACAUGUACUUGCCGCCGUGAUUUUGAGUAAUGGGGAACUGAGUGAUGGGCAGCCCGGCAUGUCACGCCGCCUUGUCUCGUAGCCAUUUGCUGCAUCAUCUGU